CGCGGAGCGGGCCGGAGCGAGGGCGGCGAGCAGAGCGGCGGCGCAGAUGCCAAACUAGCUGCAGUGGAGUGAAAAUACUGUAGAAGCCCUGAAGAUAAGGGACUAAUGUCUGUGUCUCAAACAUGAACAGCCAGAUUACUGUGCUGCCAACCAAGGAUCCUUGGAAAUAACAUGCUGUGAGAAGUAACAGGAUGUGGCUGGAGAAGGGGGCCUUACAGGGCCAGGGCAGCAGUUUUCUGGGACAGAAAUCCUUGUUCUGGCUCCUGGAGAUAAGCACAGUUGGACAUACAGGAAUGAGGUCAAGAAAAAGGAUUGCUGACCAAAAGCCAACCCAGCAGAGGGGGAUCAAGACACCAAAGACACCCUGAAGCCCUCCAACCUACUUCCAGAAAGAUCUAGAGGAAUGAACUGUGCAUGACAACUGAUUUGCAUAGAAAGCAAGAAACUUAUCUAUAAAUAAGUACCCCCAUGAGGCUCCAGGACUUCAUUGACUAUUCAUGGCUCCAGGACUCUGGACAUCCCAUUAGCUGGAUCAGCACUGGAACAAGGACUGGUGAUCUUUGUCCCUCCCUCCCUCCAGUUUCUCUCACUCACUCUACCUCUUUAUUCAGAACCCACCACUGUGUGCUUAUACUGGAAAAUGAGGGAAUAACAUAUCAAUUUCCAUGACAAGUGUAUAAUUCACUAAUAAAACUCUGUAAGCUUUUACAGACCUUCUGGCUUUGUCAUUCCUUGUUGACUGUGAGCAUCUGCACACCUGUGUGUUCCCUUCCCUUUUGGGGUGGGAUGUCUCAACAGCAAAAAGUACUGCUCAUUAACCGAAAAUUUUAACAUUGGAAAACAAGUAUAUCAUAACUGAUGUUCACAAGGUUAAAGAUCUAAAUUCAAGGUAUGGCUACUCACAUCACCUGUCAAAAAUUAGCAAGAGAUUCCUAUUUAACUUUUAAAUCCAUUUAAUAUAGUAUUUGGAAUUUAAAACUAUGAUAUGAUAGUCAGGUUUUUUUGGAUUUCAAAAAUAAAAUUAAUGUCAUUCAGAAAGAUAAAAUUAGGAUAAUCUGCAACAGUCUUCUAAUAGGAAAUCAUCACUCUAAAUAUUUUUUUUAAUGGAACAAACAUUUCAUUCAAGCCUGGAAUUGAGAUAAAUCCAGGUCACUAAGAGAUUUUCUUCUUGUAAAGAGAAAUUCAUAGAUUUAUUUCUUUGCAGCUACAAAAGGAUUACAAAAUAAAGUAGAUCUUGGGUAGCAAGGUAUAGAUCAAAUCUUUCCAACAAUUAAGUUGCAAUCUGUAAUAACAACCAAACAAGUAUUUUCAAUUCUA